UACGUAGGUGGCAAGCGUUGUCCGGAUUUACUGGGCGUAAAGAGCGCGCAGGCGGUCGUUCAAGUCGCGUGUGAAAGCCCCCGGCUCAACUGGGGAGGGUCACGCGAUACUGAUCGACUCGAAGGCAGGAGAGGGUAGUGGAAUUCCCGGUGUAGUGGUGAAAUGCGUAGAUAUCGGGAGGAACACCAGUGGCGAAGGCGGCGACCUGGGUAGAUACUGACGCUGAGGUGCGAAAGCGUGGGGAGCAAACAGG
rnacentral:rRNA from 1 species